CCCUCCUACAUCAACCAGCUGUCAAGAAAAUGCCGCAGAGGCCCUACUGGUAAGCUGCUGGGAGCAUUUUCUCAGUAGAGGUUCCUCUUCCUAGAUAACUCUAUCCUGUGUCGAGUUGACAAAAACAAAACAAAACAAACAAAAAAACCCAGCACCAGGACACUGGCUUUCACACAAUGUCUUUUGUUUCUGGUUUUUACAACAGUCAUUUGGAGGUUGGUUCUGCUUCUGCCCUGGAGAAGACAAGAGACAGAGACCGGCCUCUGGCAUGCUGAAGAUAUCCCCACAGGCUUCCUGGAUCAACUCCACCCAGGUCUCCCACCUAAGUCCCCUGGAGUGGAAUGCCCUCUGUGUCAGCUUCUGAGAGGAGCGGUCUAUCACCAGCAUGACUCGUACUGGACGGUGCCAGCUGUGUACUGUGCCGGCCAAAGGAAGGUAGCUGUCAUAAUAAAGAGGCCCCGCAGUGGCGGAGGUGGCUGCUCAGCAAACUUCCCCGUAAAGAGCCAUACUUCUCCAUCACGCAAUCCUGGCAAAGUGGAUGUGGUUGAAGAUAAUCCCAAGCCUGUGCCAUGCUGGUUGGGUUGACCGAGCAAUUUUCCUGGUCAUGGAAGCAGGAUUCCUCCGUAUCGCCCAGGCUGGCCUGGAACUUCUGAGCCUCCUUCGUCUGCCUCUCGGACACUGGGAUGAAGGCCCGCACCACCGUCUCCUGUCUAGAAAUCAGUGUUCAUUCUUUCUUGUACAGGGGCAUCUUCUUCCUUAGAGGGAACCGAUAGGAACUCUGGGACCCCUG